UCUCCCCACAAUCUGAUUUCUUUUUCCCCUUUUCUUUAAUGGGCUCCACAUAUUUCUUUUGACUACAUCUCAACAUCUAACCUAAUUUCUCUUUCUCUUUUCUCUCACAGCCGCACAUCCCUUCUCUCUUUUCUCUCACGCUCCCUCCACUUCUCCUUGUCCUCUGCUCCUUCCACGACCCGCUGUUCCCCCACGCCUCUGUCACCAACUCAUCUCUCUCUCCCACACGCUCCCUCCCUCCUUUCCUAAACCCGAAUCUAAACUUUAUAAAGAGGCUGGUCUUGAACGUUUUCAGGGGGAUUUUUUUUUACUCAACAUUUUUGGGGGAACUAUUUAAUAUUUUGACAGACAUGGGAGUAUCUUCCACACUUGAUUCUUCCUUCUCCGGUGAACUUUAGUCGUGGGAAGGGAUUAUUCAACGUUUUCGGAGGGUACCCAAAAAUCCCUAGCAUUUCACAAUUUUCAUUUUUUUUAAAAAGCUACAUUUCCCAACUCUAGGACUGUUUAAAAACUUAUUCUGUCUUGGUGGACUUUAGCCACGACAGAAGUCUUCGAAUUCAUUUGUGUGAGUUUCGGAUCUGUUCGUAACAGAGGAGUAGAUUCGAGACCUCUGCACCUCGUUCACUGUACCCACAAGAGAGUUUCCUGUUGAAACUCAACGACGCCGCUUAUGGAGUCCACAUAUCUGCACGGAUCUUUCUUGCCUCUCAAAUAUCAAUUUAUAGAGGGGAUUUUGUCCUCCCAUUAAAGCCGAACAUGCUACUUAAUCGUCCCUCUUUUCUCUGUUUGCUUUGCUUACUUAUGAUGGUGAAUGAUUUUAUUUUCAGUUAUGUACUUGCUGUUGAAAGUAGGAUUAUUAUACAAUUAAUUAAUGACUAAACCUUAAGUAAUUAUUUAAA